rnacentral:rRNA from 1 species
CUACGGGCCGCAGCAGUGAGGAAUAUUGGUCAAUGGACGCAAGUCUGAACCAGCCAUGCCGCGUGCAGGAUGACGGCCCUAUGGGUUGUAAACUGCUUUUAUUAAGGAAUAAACCCCAUUACGUGUAAUGGGCUGAACGUACUUAAAGAAUAAGCAUCGGCUAACUCCGUGCCAGCAGCCGCGGUAAUACGGAGGAUGCAAGCGUUAUCCGGAUUCAUUGGGGUUAAAGGGUUCGCAGGCGGCGUAUUAAGUCAGUGGUGAAAUCCCCCGGCUCAACCGGGGAACUGCCAUUGAUACUGGUAUGCUAGAGUAUAGUUGGCGUAGGCGGAAUAUUUCAUGUAGCGGUGAAAUGCUUAGAUAUGAAAUAGAACACCGAUCGCGAAGGCAGCUUACGAAACUAUAACUGACGCUCAGGAACGAAAGCGUGGGGAGCGAACAGGAUUAGAUACCCUUGUAGUC